GAGCUUUCUUCUUGGACACCUAAUACCCACAGUCCUCCAGGCUCCGGUAGACUGCAAAUGACCUGCUUUCUUUCUGUUCCCGGGCUGCGUUUGGACCCCUGUCGGACAGUAAAUCCCAAGUAAGGUACCUGCCCUCGGCAGAUUUGAGCUUUCUUCUUGGACACCUAAUACCCACAGUCCUCCAGGAAUGGAACAGAUAAGAAGAUACUGAAAUUGGACGGUGCUGCCGUGCGGCUGCCGCAGGACACCUUUAAUAUCCCUGUUUCUCAGGCUGUAGAUGAAGGGGUUCAGCAUGGAGGUGAUCACCGUGUACAUCACUGAGGCCACUGCAGCCUUUCUCGGGGAAGAUGACACAUCUGAACUGAGGUACCCUCCAAAGCCUGUUCCGUAAAAUCAGCAAACAACUGACAGGAUAACUUCAGGAAGUGGGUAUUAAUUCUCACGGUAUAAGUGAAGACAUUAAGCACCAGAGUUUAAGUAGCUUGAUCCACUGAAAGAGAUUCAACUGUGUGGAACCUAUGCCGUGGAGAAUUGCUUUCUGCCAUUGUUAUCGUCCAGCAGUUGCCGAAUAGCUCUGACCUGAGCAAAGCAGUGAAACGCGGUGCUGUUGAGUGGGUUGCCACUGCACCUUUUUCAACUACUCUAGUCUUGUGGAGAAAAUACCCCUUCUAAAUUUUUUCUUCAUUGAAUACUCUCCCUCAGCUCCAGAGUACCAUAUAGAGUUUUCUUGUAUUUUAGAGUUACUGUUUUAUCAAAGUUUACCAGUCUUUUGUAUUACAUUUCUCCUGUCUAAAUCGACUGUGUGGUUUCUACUCAUUAUGGAUAUAGAUUGAUACAAACUCAAUAAAUAUUUUUGAAUGAAUAA
rnacentral:lncRNA from 1 species